GGAUGAGUUGGCUCAGUGGUUAGAGCUUAGGCCUCAUAACCAAAAGGUCGCGGGAUCAAAUCCCUCUAGGGCUG
rnacentral:tRNA from 1 species